GUAAUCCCAGUGCUUGGGAGGCUGAGGUAGGAGGAAUGCUGUGAGUUUGAAGUCAGCAUGGGCUACGAAGUGAGUUGAAGACCAGCCUGAACUGCAUAGCAAGACCCUGUCUCAAAAAGACCAAAAAAAAAAAAAAAUUUUUUUCUAUGACACAGAGGAUGAAGAAUCCCAUAGUACAAGAUGAAUUUGAGGCUUAAACUUUGGCUUUGGAACACUUGUCUAUCCAGUCUCAGCAGACUAACAGGAACCGUUGUGCAGCGCCCUAUUGAUGAAGGAUUCGGAGGCCGCAAAGCAGAACCGGCAAGAGCAUUCCAGAGAUAUUAA
rnacentral:lncRNA from 1 species